AGCUCUAUGAUUGCAGCCAGUUAAGUUGGCAAUAUACGCUAUUCUGAGAAAUUUCUACUUAAAGAGAUGACAAUGGAUGAUAUGAGAGCU